rnacentral:misc_RNA from 1 species
AAGGCACAGCGCGGGUGAGCCACCCAUAUGCCGUCAACCAGGUCAAAAUGCUCAAUGUGUUUGGGCAGGGUAUGAGAAACGAUGAGCGCCACAUCGGCCCCGGAGCGGCGCUGAUCGUCGCGCAACUUGGCCAGCCACCCAUCGCUCCAGGCUUUGGUGCGCUUGGUCUCCCACAGGAUGAUGCCAGCAGGCUGGCCAAGCUG